UUUUCACUUCCUUACACUCUUGCCAGCAUUAGCCACACCCUGGUGUCUCUCAGCCAGUUUAAGCUGGUGUUAAAGUAGACAAGCAGACUGGUUAAGACCACCAAGACUAAAUGAAGUUGUUUGUCACAGACAUCUUAGGAGGAAGAGAAUACAGAUACCAGACAUUUUCUUUACUAAAAUGGACAGUUUUUUUUUCUUUCUUUUUUUCCUUUUAAAAGAUUUUUUAUAUAGAAGAAAUCUGAAAAUUUGGGUAAGUACAAAAUUUCUUCUUUCCUAUUAUUGUUGUUGCUAUUGGUGUCUACAGCAACAGUUUAUGGAAGAGGGAAAAGUAAACUUUGAGGUCAGAAUGUUUUAAGUAUAUUCUAAAACAAAGGUGGUAAUUUUCUGAGCUUAAAAUUUCUGGUCUGUGUGUUGUUGUAAAUGGUACUGUGGCUAUAACAUAAACAUUCCAUUAAAAAAAUGUUUUUGAAAAUAAGGCACAGUUCUAUUAUUAGCCCUUAAAGAAAAGCAGCAUCUUCAACAAGAAAAAAAAAUUUUAAUGUUCUAUUAGUGCAAAACAUAGUCCUCUAGUCACUGUUGUAAUCAAGAGCCUGGGGACACCAGGCAUCCAAAUGGCCAUCAUGUGCUCACUCAUGUGUUGGGAGGGACUGGGCAGCAGAGGUGGUUGGACAGCAUAGCAAAACCAGGGAGUGAGUAGCUGAGGGUCAGAGCUGGAGAGUUGCAUGUGAGUAUAUGAGGCUUUGCUUCUAUGUAAGAGUAACGAGUGGGCAGUGGGAUCAGGAGUUAGACAUCUAUAAUAUCAGUAAAGAUGGUCCUUCCCUGCCUCCUUCCUCUUGCUCACGUGAGAUCACGUGUUCAGAAGGAAAUGGUGACAGACUGCUGGUGGCAGUACUCUGUCAUUUACACAUCUCUUUAUCAUGCCUGGGUCAUUUCUGUUGAGUCCAUAAACGUUUCCUCCAGGAAGAUGUGGACAGAAGAUGUGGAAAUGGAUGCUCUGGAGAUCUGUUUUGCUUUUCAGCUUGCUAAUUAAACAGAAUUAGAAAACUGUGAUGAUGAAAGUGCUGCGAAGCUCACCGCUGGCUUGGACCAGGCCAAGGUGGGCUGCUGCACACAGAGACGUCAGCUCUUUCAAUGCCUGUGUCAUUCAGAAUCUUCCCUUUCUGCUCUCACCAGUGCUAGAUAUGCUGGAAUGUUAUAAACUUACAUCAAGUAGUAUACCUACCUGGCCGUUGUUAGAUAUGAAGUUUAGACAUGAAGAAACAGGCUCUAUAGUGAAUUGUGCACUUUUUCCAGGAAAUAAAGAGUAGAAACUUUGUUUUAAAACAAGGCCAAUCAAGUGAUAAACGUUACUACAAUAAGCUGUAAAGAACAAAAAGUGUUGGCAUUGAUCAGGCUUCUGGCAUAGGAAUUUUGAUCAUAUGAAAUAUAUAACUUUAAGGAUUGUGGUAUUGAGCUGUUCUUGGUAGCUUAUGUGCAUCCAUACUGAGAUGUUAAUGGAGGUGUUUAUGAGGAAGUUUGCUGUUGCAGUCCCUUGCAUGGUAGAGGAGAAUCCAAUAUUUCAACACCAUGCCAUCCACUU
rnacentral:lncRNA from 1 species